UAGGGAAUCUUCCGCAAUGGGCGAAAGCCUGACGGAGCAACGCCGCGUGAGUGAUGAAGGUCUUCGGAUCGUAAAACUCUGUUAUUAGGGAAGAACAAAUGUGUAGGUAACUAUGCACGUCUUGACGGUACCUAAUCAGAAAGCCACGGCUAACUACGUGCCAGCAGCCGCGGUAAUACGUAGGUGGCAAGCGUUAUCCGGAAUUAUUGGGCGUAAAGCGCGCGUAGGCGGUUUUUUAAGUCUGAUGUGAAAGCCCACGGCUCAACCGUGGAGGGUCAUUGGAAACUGGAAAACUUGAGUGCAGAAGAGGAAAGUGGAAUUCCAUGUGUAGCGGUGAAAUGCGCAGAGAUAUGGAGGAACACCAGUGGCGAAGGCGACUUUCUGGUCUGUAACUGACGCUGAUGUGCGAAAGCGUGGGGAUCAAACAGG
rnacentral:rRNA from 1 species